UGAAUACGAGAUGCUACGGCGUCGAAGCAGUCUAUGUCAUACUUCCAAGAAAAGCUCGCACUGUCAUAAACAAAUAAUGCCUGUACCAUAACCGACACAGGUGGGUAGGUAGAGUAUACUAAGGGGCGCGAGAUAACUCUCUCUAAGGAACUCGGCAAAAUGACUCCGUAACUUCGGGAGAAGGAGUGCCUUAUUUAUAAGGUUGCAAUAACAAGAUCCAAGCAACUGUUUAUCAAAAACACAGGUCUCCGCUAAGUCGUAAGACGAUGUAUGGGGGCUGACGCCUGCCCAGUGCCAGAAGGUUAAAGAAGUUGGUUAGCAUUCGCGAAGCUGAUAACUGAAGCCCUGGUGAACGGCGGCCGUAACAAUAACGGUCCUAAGGUAGCGAAAUUCCUUGUCGGGUAAGUUCCGACCCGCACGAAAGGCGUAAUGAUUUGGAUACUGUCUCGGAGAGGGGCUCGGUGAAAUAGACUUGUCUGUGAAGAUGCGGACUACCUGCACCAGGACAGAAAGACCCUAUGAAGCUUUACUGUAACUUGAGAUUGAAAUUGGACUUUACUUGCGCAGUAUAGGUGGGAGGCGUUGAUAAUAUUCUUGCGGGAUUAUUUGAGCCAUCAGUGAGAUACCACUCUUGUAAUGUUAGAUUUCUAACUUUGUAUCAUUAUCUGGUCAAAGGACAGUUUCAGGCGGGCAGUUUGACUGGGGCGGUCGCCUCCUAAACGGUAACGGAGGCGCACAAAGGUUUCCUCUGAACGGGUAGAAAUCGUAUCUAGAGUGUAAAGGCAUAAGGAAGCUUGACUGUGAGACCUACAAGUCGAGCAGGGACGAAAGUCGGUCUUAGUGAUCUGACGGUGCUGAGUGGAAAGGCCGUCACUCAACGGAUAAAAGUUACUCUAGGAUAACAGGCUGAUCUCCCCCAAGAGUUCACAUCGACGGGGAGGUUUGGCACCUCGAUGUCGGCUCAUCGCAUCCUGGGGCGGUAGUACGUCCCAAGGGUUGGGCUGUUCGCCCAUGAAAGCGGUACGCGAGCUGGGUUCAGAACGUCGUGAGACAGUUCGGUCCAUAUCCGGUGUAGGCGUUAGAAUAUUGAGAGGAGCCUUCUUUAGUACGAGAGGACCGAGAAGGACAUACCUCUGGUGUACCAGUUAUCGUGCCAACGGUAAACGCUGGGUAGCUAUGUAUGGAGUGGAUAACCGCUGAAAGCAUCUAAGUGGGAAGCCCACCUCAAGAUAAGUA
rnacentral:rRNA from 1 species